ACCUAAUUUUAGGAUCCAUUUUCUAUUUUAUUUUCUGCGGAAUAACCAAACUCAAUUCUCAUCUCGUUUGAAGUGCCCGCCAUAAUAUGUGGAUAUAUUACGUCACAAUGUCUCCGGUUGCAAUCGGGGCUAUAACACCCACCAAACUAGAAACAGGAACUCCUCCUUUGGUGAAGGCCUCCUCCUUUGUUUUCUUUACCACUGAUCUCUAUUUUGGGCCAUUUGUACCCAAUUUGAGUUCGGUAUUCUUGUAAUGUUAUCCUGCCAUCUUAUCGGGUUUUCCUCUGUAUCGUUUUCCUUUUGGAGCAUUCCACGAAGUGAUCCUUUUGAUUCAUCUCUCGGCUUGCAAUCUCGCUACUUGGACCGCCCACUGCCAAUUCCCAUUUAAGAAACAUCAAUAACACAACAAAAUCCUCUUAAUUGCGGAAAAUUCUGAAGUUAUUGAUCCACACUAGGGCAAUUUAAAAAGUUCUUUCAAUGAAAAAGGACACAUUUUGAAGUCAAAAGGCUUCUUAAACUGUAAGCAGACAAUUGAAGUCAUUCGAACCGUGCUCCAUUCACAAGGGUCCAUUGUUGAAAUGUUGGUUAACCCGAAAAGAGCUAGACCGCAAAGAAACGGAGCAAAUUAACAUAAAAAUACAGUUAAGUGAAAUCUUUAUUAAAAUUUUUGUGAGUACUUCAUAUAAUAAGAGAAUGUGGUCCAUUUAAAA